UCGAGCGGACAGAUGGGAGCUUGCUCCCUGAUGUUAGCGGCGGACGGGUGAGUAACACGUGGGUAACCUGCCUGUAAGACUGGGAUAACUCCGGGAAACCGGGGCUAAUACCGGAUGGUUGUUUGAACCGCAUGGUUCAAACAUAAAAGGUGGCUUCGGCUACCACUUACAGAUGGACCCGCGGCGCAUUAGCUAGUUGGUGAGGUAACGGCUCACCAAGGCAACGAUGCGUAGCCGACCUGAGAGGGUGAUCGGCCACACUGGGACUGAGACACGGCCCAGACUCCUACGGGAGGCAGCAGUAGGGAAUCUUCCGCAAUGGACGAAAGUCUGACGGAGCAACGCCGCGUGAGUGAUGAAGGUUUUCGGAUCGUAAAGCUCUGUUGUUAGGGAAGAACAAGUACCGUUCGAAUAGGGCGGUACCUUGACGGUACCUAACCAGAAAGCCACGGCUAACUACGUGCCAGCAGCCGCGGUAAUACGUAGGUGGCAAGCGUUGUCCGGAAUUAUUGGGCGUAAAGGGCUCGCAGGCGGUUUCUUAAGUCUGAUGUGAAAGCCCCCGGCUCAACCGGGGAGGGUCAUUGGAAACUGGGGAACUUGAGUGCAGAAGAGGAGAGUGGAAUUCCACGUGUAGCGGUGAAAUGCGUAGAGAUGUGGAGGAACACCAGUGGCGAAGGCGACUCUCUGGUCUGUAACUGACGCUGAGGAGCGAAAGCGUGGGGAGCGAACAGGAUUAGAUACCCUGGUAGUCCACGCCGUAAACGAUGAGUGCUAAGUGUUAUGGGGUUUCCGCCCCUUAGUGCUGCAGCUAACGCAUUAAGCACUCCGCCUGGGGAGUACGGUCGCAAGACUGAAACUCAAAGGAAUUGACGGGGGCCCGCACAAGCGGUGGAGCAUGUGGUUUAAUUCGAAGC
rnacentral:rRNA from 1 species